rnacentral:rRNA from 1 species
AGAGUUUGAUCAUGGCUCAGAACGAACGCUGGCGGCAUGCCUAAUACAUGCAAGUCGAACGCGCCUAGCGAUAGGCGAGUGGCGGACGGGUGAGUAACGCGUGGGAACCUGCCCUUGAGUGCGGGAUAACCGAGGGAAACUUCGGCUAAUACCGCAUGCGCCCCGGGCAACUGGGGGAAAGAUUUAUCGCUCGAGGAGGGGCCCGCGUCGGAUUAGCUAGUUGGUGGGGUAAUGGCCUACCAAGGCGAUGAUCCGUAGCUGGUCUGAGAGGAUGAUCAGCCACACUGGGACUGAGACACGGCCCAGACUCCUACGGGAGGCAGCAGUAGGGAAUAUUGGACAAUGGGGGCAACCCUGAUCCAGCAAUGCCGCGUGAGUGAUGAAGGCCUUAGGGUUGUAAAGCUCUUUCGCACGCGACGAUGAUGACGGUAGCGUGAGAAGAAGCCCCGGCUAACUUCGUGCCAGCAGCCGCGGUAAUACGAAGGGGGCGAGCGUUGUUCGGAAUUACUGGGCGUAAAGGGCGCGCAGGCGGCCGAUCAAGUCAGGCGUGAAAGCCCCGGGCUUAACCUGGGAAUUGCGCUUGGGACUGAUGGGCUUGAGUUCGGGAGAGGAGAGUGGAAUUCCCAGUGUAGAGGUGAAAUUCGUAGAUAUUGGGAAGAACACCGGUGGCGAAGGCGGCUCUCUGGACCGAUACUGACGCUGAGGCGCGAAAGCGUGGGGAGCAAACAGGAUUAGAUACCCUAGUAGUCC